GACGGAAGGUGCAAGCGUUGCUCGGAAUCAUUGGGCGUAAAGCGCACGUAGGCGGCUUGGUAUGUCGGGUGUGAAAUCCCCGGGCUCAACCUGGGAACUGCAUCCGAAACUGCCUUGCUCGAGUAUGGGAGAGGGAAGUGGAAUUUCCGGUGUAGCGGUGGAAAUGCGUAGAUAUCGGAAGGAACAUCAGUGGCGAAGGCGACUUCCUGGACCAAUACUGACGCUCAGGUGCGAAGCGUGGGGAGCAAACAGGAUUGAGAUAC
rnacentral:rRNA from 1 species